rnacentral:rRNA from 1 species
CGCGAACGCUGGCGGCAUGGUUAAAACAUGCAAGUCGAACGCGAACGGGGCUUCGGCCCUUAUUAGAGUGGCGAAAGGGCGAGGAAUACGUUCUUAACGUGCCCCAAGGUCAGGGAUAGCUCGGGGAAACCCGGAAUAAUACCUGAUAAUCCCAUUUGAUUUCAUGAUUAGAUGGGCAAAGGCUUGCUGCCUUGGGAUCGGAGAACGUCCUAUCAGGUUGUUGGUGAGGUAAAAGCUCACCAAGCCUUAGACGGGUAGCGGGUGUGAGAGCACGAUCCGCCGCAUCGGGACUGAGACACUGCCCGG